UAUCCCGCCAGCCCCGCCCCGCCCCGCCGGCCCCGCCCCAUCCUGCCCCACCACACAGGCCCUGCUCACCGUCCAACCCUCCAGGGCCGUCUGGUACUCGGCGGCCUCCGUGGCCUCCCUCAGCAGCUCCUGGUAUCGGGGACAGCUUCGUGUAGGGAACCUCAGCAGCUGGAGAAAACGGAGGCUCAGCGGGGACAGCAGCGUGACCGGGGCCCGACUGCAGGCGGGGGGAGUCGGGCUGUGGGGCCCUGUCUCCGGUCCAGCGUCUCUCCCAGAUCCGGCUGCACAGUGUCGGGUAGGCGGCUCACCCCAUCAGGACAGCUCAGCCCCAGGGAAGGUCUGGGUGUUCUGGCUCCCGGGAACCACCCAUCCAGGCCCCGAGCCUCCUCUCUCAGCCGCUGGCCCUCUCCGUCUCUGGGGUCCCUGUCUCCCUCCAUCCCUCCCACCUCCAGGCCCUGUCCAGCCCCCUGACCUUGUCCUCAGUGACGGGCACCGUGUGCACAGGGAUCGGCCUCCAGGUGGCCUCGGAGCGCCCUGGGGCGGCCUCAGGGAAAAGCCCCGCUAGGUUGGCCUGAGCGCUCUCCAGGGUCCGGUCAAAGUCUGUGCUGCGAAUGUACACCUGGGUGCGGUGGGGAGAGGCCAGGCCAGGGUACCACGGUCAGGGUCAGAGGUCAGCUAUAGCAGCAAACCAAAAGCUUCAGAUUAAGUUCAGAGUCGAAGUUCAGGUGUUGGGGGUCAAAACUCAGGGCGGGUUCAGGGGCUGGCCUUCAAUUUUGGAAGCUGGGAUCAAGGGCCAGAGGUCAAUGUCAGGAGCAGUUGGGUUGGGGGUCAGAAGUUGGGUGGACAUUGAGGAUUAAGGGGUCAUUUGAGUCAAUGAAAGUCAGAAAGGAAUAUCAGGGGCUUCCCUGGUGGCGCAGUGGUUAAGAAUCCGCCUGCCAAAGCAGGGGACAUGGGUUCAAGCCCUGGUCCGGGAAGAUCCCACAUGCCGCGGAGCAACUAGCCCCGUGCGCCACAACUACUGAGCCUACAAGCCACAACUACUGAGCCUGCAAGGCACAACUACUGAAGUCCGCGCCUAGAGCCCGUGCUCCACAACAAGAGAAGCCACCGCAGUGAGAAGCCCGUGCUCACCGCAACUAGAGAAAGCCCGCGCGCAGCAACAAAGACCCAACAUAGCCAAAAGAAGUGUUGAUCUGAUUAUCACCAUCUCCAUGGUGCAGACGGGGAAACCAAGGCACAGCAAGGGUUGACCCUAUUCCAUGAGGGAGGAGACUACAUGGGAUAUGAACUCCAGGAGGUGAGACUCACUGGGGGCUAUGCUGGAGGCUGGCUCCAUGGCAAUGUUCUUUAUUUUAUUUUAUUUUUGGCUGCAUGGCACAUGGGAUCUUAGUUCCCUGACCAGGGAUCAAACCCACACCCCCUGCAUUAGAAGCAUAGAGUCUUAACCACUGGACCACCAAGGAAGUCCCCAUGGUAAUGUACUUUAAAUAAAGAUGUCUUGUCAGCCCACUUCCUGAGUCCCCCACCCCGAAAUUCAUAUGUUUUAACCCGAACCUCCAAGGUGAUGGUAUGAGGAGGUGGGGCCUUUGGGGUGAUUAGGUCAUGAGGGUGGAGCCCUCAUGAAUGGGAUUAGUGCCCUUUUAAAAGAGACCCCAGAGAGCUCCCUGGUCUCUUCCACCACAUGAGGACACAUCGAGUAAUUGGCCAUCUAUGAACAAGAAAGCAGGCUCUUACCAGACACCAAAUCUGCCAGCACCUUGAUCUUGGACUUCCAGCCUCCAGAGCUGUGAGAAAUAUAGUUGUGUUAUUUGUUAGCCACCCCGUCUAUGGUGUUCUAUUAUAGUAGCUCAAACAGACCAAGACAAGUCCCGUCUCAAGAUCCUUAAUGUAAUCACCUCUGCAAAGUCCCUUAAGCCAGGUGAGGGAAAUACUCACAGGUUUUGGGGGUUGGGGUGUGGCCAGUUUGGGUCUAUUACUCAGCCCGCCACACACGUAAAUACAGGGGUGGCCCACCCCACUCCUCUGAUCCACUUUCCACCAUUCUCUGUCCAGCUCUGUGCCCUUGAGGAAGCCUCUGUCUUCAUCUCCAUCCUGGCCCCCGUGCCCUCUGGAUCCCCAUUGGAGCCAGCCAGGGAGGGGAGCAGGAACUCCUAGGAUGAGAGGUACUGGCUGCAGUAUAGCUUCCUUCGGGGAACCCCCUGUCCCUUGAGGUUCUGAUGACAUGGGUCUCACCCCUUGAUGCCUAGAGGUGUGUAUUGGUUUGCUAGAGCUGCUGUAACAAACUGGCUGGUUUAGACGUCAGAAAUGUAUCGUCUCCCAGUUCUGGAGGCCAGAAGUCCAAAAUCAAGGUUCCAGCAGGGUCGGUCCCUUCUGAGAGCUGUGAAGAAGGAUCUGCUCCCUGCUUCUCCCCAGUUUCCGGUGUUGUUGACAAUCCCUGGCUUAUAGAAGCGUCACUCCAGACUCUCAUCAUGUGGCCUGUGUGUGUGUGUCUGUCUCUGAGUCUCUCCUCUUCUUAUAAGGACACCAGUUAUGACCUGAUCUUAACUUGAUUUACAUCUGCAAAACCCCUAUUUCCAAAUGAAGUCACAUUCACAGGUACCGGGGGUGAGGACUUGAUCUUUGGUGGGACUCAAUCCAGACCCAACUGGGUGGCAGCAGCUCCCCAAGUUUCCUAAGCCCAGUGCUGCGCUGUCCUACCAACUCUGAACAUGGGCCCUGUAUUAAACUCCUUCCAAUUAAACCUUUUUGAGCUGCGCCUGCCGCUUUCUGCUGCAACACUGAGACAGCGCAUCCUUCCAGAUUUUUCAACACACACGUUCUUUUUUUUUUUUCCUGCCGCACCGCGUGGCACCUGGGAUCUUAGUUCCUCAACGAGGGAUCGAACCCAUGCACCCUGCAGUGGAAGCGCAGAGUCUUAACCACUGGACCGCCAGGGAAAUCCCCACGUUUAAAAAAUAUACGUACUUUUUACCAAAAUGAGAUCAUAUCGCACAUGCAAUUUUGGAACAAUCUCCUCCUUUCCAUGUCAGUAACACUUUCAUCUCAUCUAAUACCCACUCUCCUUUCAGAGGUCCCCAAUAUCUCCCCCAAUAUCCUUUACAGCUGAGUUAUCUAAACCAGAAUCCAGUUCAGGAUCACCCAUCAAAUCUGGUCUUAUGUCUCUUAUGGAUUUGUUUAAAUAGAGCAAGUCCAUUUGCCUUAUGGAUUUGUUUAAAUAGAGCAAGUCCAUUUGCCUUGGUUUUUUUGGGGACACGGACUUGGAGAGACCAUGCCAGUUGCCCUGUUCAGUGUCUUGCCUUCUGGAGUUUUCUGGCUGGUGCGCUCAGGUAUCAUUUCACAGCUGAUUCAUGUCAUUUCCAGCAUUUAUGUUGCAUAAAGUCACCGGGAACGCAGGAUUAGCAAAUACUGAAUCAUUGCUUCUAGGGAAAAUGUGUGUGUGUGUGUCACGUAGAUUAUAAUCUUAAAUCCAAAAAACUACUCAUCCUGGUAGAUCCUUUUUUUUUUUUCUUUUUGUUUUUUACAAACUAGAAAAUUUGCCCCAGGCCACCCCACUCACAGGUGCCAGAGCUGGGAUCCAAACCCAUCCGUCUGGCCCCAGAGCAGGAGCUCCUCCCCAGCACUGCCCCCUCCUGUCUCUGGCCUCUGGGCAGCUCUCUGUUUGAGCUGAAACAAGAGAGCAGAGGAUUGUCCCCUUGAUCAACAAAGGAACGUGCGUGUCCUCAGACUCAAACCUGUAGCCACUCGGGGCAGAGGUGGAAUCGCGGAUAAUGAGGGCUGACUGCACUGGUUUCCUCUGUCCUCUGUGUUUCUGGUGACCCCAAAGUUAGUUCUAAAGGCGUGAUGGACCCAAAGAGAUUUAGGUCUACAAACUCUCGGGAGGGCUGGCGGAGGACCGCCAGAGGGCCAUGGGGGUCCCGGGCACAUCACUGUCCCCGUGGCCCAGAGAUGGGAACGCUGCUGCCUCUGCCACGAGUCCUACCAUUAUAACUGCUGCUUCCGCCCCCAAACUGGUGACCAGGCUCUGGGAGGCUCGGUCCUCCCCCUGCUGUGUCUCUAAAUCUUGCAACUGACAGAUACCAUUGGAGGAAACUUUGCCUGGGCCACCUCAUCUGCUCUCUGGCUUCCAGUCUCUUCCUGUUCCAAGAUACUUCUUUUUUUUUUCUUCUUUUUUCAUUUUUUUUUUUUUUUUCUCCAAGAUACUUCUGGCGCCCAGGGUUGCAGGUCUGGACUCUCCCAUCUCAGAUGUCCCCCUUCCAAGUUCACAUACUCCAUGUGACAUUCUGUACCCAAAUUCCCCUCUCCCCCAAGCCUCUGCCACAAGGUCCCCUUACCCAGAAUGCCCUUCUCUUGUCACCAUGGCCACCAUUCUGGUCUCCCAGAUGACCCUCUGUCAGGCUCUGCUGGCCCACCUCCCUCUCUGGCUUACAGGCCCGGGAAAGGGAGAGAGAGGCCAAGCAACCCUGCGGCUGAGACCUCUGGCCAUGAAUGUUCAGGAAAAUGCGACCCUGGCCAUAGCCGUAUUCACCAUCCUCACCUCCAUCUACUUCUUCAACAAGGCUCAGCAAUGAGCAGACGCAGGACCCCUAACCCAAGAGCCCUGCCCCUGCCCUGACCGUGACUGUGGCCUCUGAGACCAAAUAAAUGUGACUGAAUCAGCACACCCUGCUCUAUCCCACCACCCCGCAGGCACACAGCCCCGGGCCAACUCUGUCUGAGGGCCAGGCUUCUGGGUCAGAGACAGGAGGCCCGCACUCCUGGGUCUGGGGAAGGUGGAGACUAGGGGAUAGACUAUCAGGUUUGAGGCUAGGUGCCCAGAGACUGAGCUGUGCUUUGAGGGGGGAGUAGUCUGUCAGGAGCGUUUAGAGAGGGGGAAGGACAUUCCAACUUUGAAUGCAAAAACACAGAUAGGAGAAGGAGCAGGGAUGACUCACCACCUGGUACCGACACAAACUGCUGUGUACUUCAGAUUUAUUCCUUCUCUCUGAGUCUUGGUUUUCUUCUCAGUCAGACAAAGGUGAAAAUCUUGGACCAGUGGGCCCCAGAAGGCCGUGGCAAGGACAGCCUGAGAUCAAAGAUGCGAAUGGAAUUUGCAAGUUGCAAAGCCAGAAGUUGGUCAGCCCCGCUCUAGCAGGGAAGUCGAUUUCCGCAAAACAAGAAUUCCGAGACCUGAGCCGGGUAAGCGGUCCUUGAGGCUUAGUCCCCUCUCCCAGGGGCCUUCCUCUCUCCCUGGACCAUAGCCGCGCCCCCUAUCUCUCUCCUUCAGUCUUCACAGGGGUCUUUCUACAAGCAGAGGUGACCUAUCCUUCCCUUGGCUCCCCAGCACCCCUGGGACAAGAGUCCCAGCCCCUCAGCCUGGCAUAGGAAGCUGUGUUUUGGGGUUUGUUUGUUUGUUUUUGGCUGCGAUGUGUCUUCUUUGCUGCACGUGGGCUGUGGGCUUUCUCUAGUUGCUGGAAGCGGGGGGUUCCUCUUCAUUGUGGUGCACGGGCUUCUUACUGCGGUGGCUUCUCUUGUUGCAGAGCACGGGCUCCAGGCGCGCGGGCUUCAGUAGUUGUGGCACGUGGGCUCAGUAGUUGUGGCUCCCGGGCUCUAGAGCGCAGGCUCAGUAAUUGUGGCACACAGGCUUAGUUGCUCCGCAGCAUGUGGGAUCUUCCCGGACCGGGGCUCGAACCCAUGUCCCCUGCACUGGCAGGCGGAUUCUUAACAACUGUGCCACCAGAGAAGUCCUGGAAGCUGUGUUUGACCUGACGCCCUCCCGUCUUUUUCUUUUUUUAAUCGCACCCACCUCUUACGCCCCCUCUGUAGUAUAUCUUAACGUAUGUAACUCACAGAUGGUUUAAAGAAAAAAAAGCCGCACCCCAGGGUCUUUGCACAUGCUGUACUCCCUGCCCGGAGUGCCCUUUCCCUCCUCUAUUGUGUGUCAGCUCCACCUGGAAGGCUUCCUAAAAACCUCUCCCAAUCAGAGUCAGCCUCCCUGCCUCUCUUCGCCUCCCCGCCACUUCCUCCCCACCCUUCUUGGCUGUGACUGGGAGCCUAAGGCAGGGGGUGCACAGAAUAAAUCUGACUUCUGCUGGACCCCCAGCUUGGGUCUUGGCUAUCAACGUUUGGAAAACAAACAAAUAUUGACAAAGAAAUCGAUCUUUGCGUCCCUCCUCCCCACUCCCACCUCCAGGGUUUUCAGCCCUUGAGUGCUGGGUUUCUCAACCCCCUGGGAGCUACCAAGGUUGCAUUUGCACAGCCACAGGCACUUGGAGAUGGGUGGGGCUCAGCCCGCUGCCCGUGGGACUUCCUGGCAAGCUUUGGAAACUCCCAGAGCCCAGCUCUACCCUAGGCCACUUAAACCACAACACCUGGGGAUGGGCCCUGGGCACUGAUUUGGAGUUUAAAAGCUCCUCCGGAGAUCCUGAUGUGCAGACAGGGUCAAGAGGCAUCUGCUAUAAUGCAUUUUCCAAAGACCGAAGAGAUAGAUUUUCCCCCUUGGAGCUUAGUGCAUGUCUGAGGUAGCGCCACGGAUACAUCAAACGACUCAGAACGUGGAGCAAAAAUUAACCUUUAGUUGGGAAACAUUUGGGAGUUUGAAAACCAAAGAUGACCAACAACAUCCUUUUCCAGGGGCGGGGGCAUGGUUAGGAGGCACGUGCGUAUUUCAAAAGGCAGCAAGACAAGACGAAUGAUAGCCAGUGUCCUGGAGACCCAGAACAUCCGGUGGCCAAGUACUGUCCUGUGUUACUCGGUUCCACCUGCAGGGACCACGGCAUCCCAGCGUGCAUGAGACUUUCCUGGUUUUAGCUCCGAAAGCCCCAUAGCCCAGAUAUUGUAUUGCUAAGUCCUGGCAUAACCAGGACGGUUGGCUGCAGGUUCCUAGCCCAUGUCUAUAAUCGUGUCUUUAGAUCCAGGCCCAUGUCUGUCUGUAUGUCUGUCUGUCUCUCCCUGUCCAUCUGUCUCUCUCCCCACUCAUUCUCCUCUCCUUCAGUCAGAGUCUAGUUCCUUUCCACCUCCUCCUGGGUCUUUGUCUCUGUAUCUUUUCCUGUCUUGUCUCCCACUUGGUCCCUCCCGGCAGCCUGACCUGUCUCUCGCGUCCCUUCCCUGCCUUGGCCUCCGUCUGCCACCGCGUCUUGUGUGAUGCUGUCACGUCUGCGUCGGUGCCCGUUUCUCCCUCUCUGCAUCUCUUCCUUCACUUGGCCUGCUUUCUCUUUGCAUCCUUUUUCCCCAUUCUCUGGGCCCCUGCGCCCCACCCCGGGUCCCUGUCCCCGUCUCUAAAUUUCAGUCUCUCUCAGCAUCUCACAUUCUCUGGAGUUUGAUAAGGUGGGAGACCCCCCCCCUCUACACUCUCCCUAAAUGUCCCCAACCCCGCCCCCCAGGAAUUUCCCUCCCGGUCCCCGCAGGACACCUGGGCCUCCCUCCCCAGUGCCAGACCCCACCCGUCCCCCCUCAGACUACCCCACUUGGCGGCACCAGAGGGCCCGCCCAGCACAGGAGCUGCCUAAACGCCUGGUCCUCUCACAUCCCCACCAGCAUCAACAGAAGCAGCAGGGGGAAGGGAAACCAGCAGAGAAACAGCACGGCCCCCGUGGCUGUGGCACCCCCAGCAGCCGGGGCCUCCCUGUGAGCCUCGCCAGCUGCAGCCUGGCCUUCAGGAGGCUGUGGAAGGCACUCAGCACCGCCAGUGCACCCCAAAGCUGAACGCCCGCUGACUCAGUGCAGGGCUGGAGGAUGAAGAUGGCUGGGCAGGCUCCCCGACAGGCGUCUUGUUAAAAGCGUCAGCCCGGUUCACCUGGCCCCUCAGGGUUCACAGGGCUGAUGUGCCCAGGACCAGAAGAAGGAGCCCAAAACCCCCGGCCCAGAAAACUGCCCUCCAGGCUGUGCGAUGGUUCUGUGCCCAGGUGGGCUGGAGCGCAGAGGUGCAGCGGUCGGCGGCCGCACGGGUCAGCGGGCCGCCACUGGCGUAGAAUGUCAGGAAGACGAGGCCGGGGUCCAGGUGGUAGAAGAUGCCACCCAGGGGCCAGUGGGGGAGCGUCCAGGUGAGGGGCAGGGGCAGGAGAACAGUGAAGGCGGCAUCGGCCAUGGCCUGGUGGCCAAACCAGUCUGCGGACAAAGGGGGAGGCAGGAGGGGCCCUGCCCCUUGGAUCACCAGGAGGUAGGAGAUGAGGGCGGCCAGGGAGUAGAGGAGGAAGAGGGUCGUCCCCGGUGGGCACAGGGCUCCAGCGGGUGACGGCUGCCAAGUCUCCAGAGGGUCCUCCAAGGGCUGGAUGAUGCUUUUGGGACCCACAGGCCUCCACGUUAGCAAGUCCCACACCCCGCCCCCCACCCACCAACUUCCCCGUGUCCUCCAUCUCAGGGACUGCCCCCCCGUCCACCCAGACCUGGGGCGCUGUCCUCUCUCCCUUGCUUCCCCUCACCUCUCACAGUCUCACUCUGAUCCUCUCUGCCCCGUCCCCGUCGCCCUGGCCCCGUGCAGGCCUUCACCUCACCUGGCUGGACCCUUAGCCCAGCCUCCUCCCAGCCCUCCCUGCCUCCAGUUAUCCCAUCCAGUGCAGAGCAGACCUACCCCUCCACUGCUCACAGGCCUCCCAUGGCUCCCCAGUACCCCUGGCCAAAGUCCCCGCGCCUCAGCCUAGAGGGGAGACCCUGGGAGGUCUGACCCACCCUCCUCUGCACCCCUUUUCCUGUCCUUAAUGCAUCAUCGCAUCAAACCACUCCCAGAACUAGAGGCUCGCUCCAGCCUUGUGCACUUCACCCCUGGUAUUCUCCAGCCUCUCAGGAAGCCCGUUUCUUUCAAGGACUGCAGGAUCCUGGCUGUGCCAAGCCCCACGAAGUGACUACUCUUAUUUUUUUUAAUUAUUAUUAUUAUUUAUUAUUAUUAUUUUUUGGCCGUGCUUUGCAGCAUGCAGGAUCUUAGUUCCCUGACCAGGGAUCGAACCCAUGCCCCCUGCAUCGGGAGCGUGGAGUCUUAACCACUGGACCGCCAGGGAAGUCCCGAGGUGGCUACUCUCACAGCUCCACUUUUCAGAUGGGGAAACUGAGGCUCAGAGGAGGCGAUUCACUUGCUCAAAAUCAAAGCAGACAAAAGAGAGACCAAGCCUGGAUUUGCACCUGUAUCUGUGACCUCAGAGGCCGGGAUGUUAACUCGGGGGUCCUGAUCUGUUUGCGGGCCUCAGUUUCCCCACUCUGUUUCCUUGUUAUCCUGAGCCCACCAGCAGGUGGGAGGCAGGCGUCUUCCAGGGCGUCUGAGCAGGAGCGGGAGGCCUGGUCUCCCCUGGAGGACCCAGGAUGGGGAGGCUCACAAGUGGCUAGAAAUCAGAGAGCUGGAAAUCAGAGGGACCACCACACAGGGUCUGAGCAUGGGCCUCAGUUUCCCCAUCUGUGAACCGAAGGAUCAGCUUGUUUGCUUGGGCGCUGUCUUCCCAUCGCCCCCAGGAUGAGGUCUGAGCUCCUCAGCCUGGCAUUUGCAGUCCUAGCUUUUGGGGCUCCACCCACAUCACCAGUUGCCUAGCUCACCACUUCCCUUCCUUCUGCUCUGGAGUUCCUAGAACAAGCCACAUGGUUUCAUGCACACAUGCACACACCCAGCCUUUGUCCUUGCCAUUUCCUCAUUCUGGACUUGACCCUAUUGUUCCAGCCAACAAACUCCUACUCAAGCUUCAGAACCCGCCUGAGUGCCACCCUCCCCAGAAACCCUUCUCUGACUAUGACACACCCCACCAGACUGAAUCAGGUAUCACCUUCAUUGCAUGUAGGGUCUCUGAGAGGUUCAUGCUAAGCUAAGGGCAGGAAUGAAAUGUCAACUAUGUAUGGGGCAACGUGCUAUGACCUUCACAUGCAUCAUUUUAAUUUAUUCUUCCAAGAACCCUGUGAGGACAAUACUAUUGCUGUCCUCAUUUUAUCAAGGGGGAAAGCUGAGGCAAACUUAAAUAAAUGAGCCAUUCAGUAAAUGAAACAACUCAGAAAAGAAUCCAGGUUGACCGACUCCAGAAUCUGAAGUCUUAACCACUGUAUUAUUUUGCCUAAACAAAAUUUUUUUUUUUGAUGUGGACCAUUUUUAUUGAAUUUGUUACAAUAUUGCUUCUGCUUUAUGUUUUGGUUUUUUGGCCCUGAGGCAUGUGGGAUCUUAGCUCCCCGACCAGGGAUUGAACCUGCACCCCCUGCAUUGGAAGGUGAAAUCUUAACCACUAGACUGCCAAGGAAGUCCCAACAAAGACGUAUUGAAUGAAUAAAUGCAUGAAUCAUCCUUGAACAACCAACCCACACAAUGCCUCGGGACAUGUUUGUAAAAUGAAUGAAUGUAUUCCCAUCUUUACCUGGCAAACUUUACUCAUACAUUAAUUCCCAAUGCAAAUGCCCCCUCCUCCAGGAAGCCCUCCCUGACUUUUCCAGGCUUAGUCCUUCUACAGUCCCUCUUCCUCCCUCGGAUCCCCUCCAGACUGGAACUGUCUGUGCCCUAUUUAUCUCCUAUACCAGCCUGGGAGCCCCUGGAGGGCUGAUUCAUAUCUGUGUCCCCAACAUCUCCCAGCUCAGGACCAGGUCACAUGAGACCUCAGGACGUAUUUGCAUGCACAGCUCAUGGUCUGGUGACAGAUCAGGAGGAAGAAGAGGCUAAAACCCAGUGAUGAGGAAGACAUGCAAAACCUCAGGGUGGUCCUCCAGAAAAGACAUGGCUGGAGCUUCAGGACCUAGAGCAGACUGAGUGAGCACUAUAUCAGGAGUCCAGAGACAACCCACCUCCUCGUAUGACCAGAUCCCUCAUGUCUGAGCUCCAGUUUUCUCAGCCGGAGAACAAGGGUCCAUGGACAAAUUGGGUAGUGAAUAAUGAGCACAUCGCAGACUGCCAUAUUGGAUCCUCCCAAGGGCUCCCCAUCACCCUCCCCACCCCCCAUUCCUCCCACCUCUAGGCCUUUGCACCCGCUGUGCCCCCUGCCUGGAGCGCCCUUCCCCACACCUCUUCCUCACAUCACUCAGGUCUCUGCUAACGGUUGCCUCUUUCAAGUGUCUAAACCCCUCAACACUCCCUCUCCCCUUAAUCCUCCUGCUUUCCUCUCCAUAGCACUGAUGGUCAUGCAUUGGUUUUUAAAAUUGUAAUUGUUUAAUUGUCUGUCUGCACCCCUCCCCGCACCCCACCCCAAUGCUGUAACAAAGGAAUUCCGUAAGAGUAGGGAUUUUCAUCCUAAAACAGUGCCUGGCACAUAGUAGGUGCUCAAUAAAUAUUGUUGAAUAAAUGAAUGAAUAAAUGUGAGUAGGGAACCCCAUGCUCACUGUAGUAGGCAGAUGAAUGGCCCCAAAGAUGUCCACGUCCUCAUUCCGGAACCCGUGGGUAUGUUACCUUACAUGGCAAAGGGGAAUGAAUGUCUCAGAUGGAGUUAAGGCUUCUAGUCAGAUGACUCUAAAAUAGGGAGAGGAGCCUGGAUUCUCCAGGUGGGCCCAAUAUAGUCACAAUAUAGGGAUUCUGAUAUGUGGAAAAGGGAGGCAGAGAGAGAUUUGAAGAUGCUACCUGCAGGGCAAUUCCCUGGCAGUCCAGUGGUUAGGACUCCUUGCUUUCACUGCCAUGGCCCGGGUUCAAUCUCUGGUCAGGGAAUUAAGAUCCCGCAAGCCGCGUGGCGUGGCCAGAACGUAAGAAUAAAUAUAUAAAUGAAGAUGCUACCUUUGGGAUUUGAAGAUGGAGGCAAAAGCCAUGAGCCGUGAAGCGGGGACACCCUCUAGGAGCUGGGAAAGGAAAGGAAAAGGAUUCUCCUCUAGAGCCUAGUGACACCCAUCUAGGACCUCUGACCUCCAGAAUCAUGAGCUAGAUGUGUGUUGUUUGAAGACACUAAGUUUGUGGGAAUUUGUUACGCCAACCAUAGGAAAAUAAUACACCCAUUUUAUAGACCAGCCAUUUGGAGGCUCUCUGAGGCCAGGCACCCAAUUGCUGAGUUUGCCCCCUCAGUAAGAGGCGGUAGGAAGUUGGGGACAGGCCUCAGAGAGAGGAGCAUCUGGACCCAGAAUGGCCAAAGGAGAGGCAUGGAGGGAGGGGCAGGCUGUGGUGGGAGGGAUGGGGCUGGCUGUGGGGAAAGAGGGGAUGCGAGUGCUCCGCUCUGCCAGGCUUUAUCUUGUGGUUCCUGUGGGCUUCAAAGUACCCACGACCGGGAGGCGGAAAGAGUAGCAGGGGAUCCCACAUUAGAGCCCACUACCAGCCUCUCCCUCCCUCCACUCCCUCCAGCCCUGUCUGUCCCACUCUCUUCUCCAUACCCACCGCCUGGUCCCUACUCAGGCCUCCUCCUCUUUCCCUGGACCCCUCCCCCCUCCCAGCCUUCUUCUGGUCUCUGUCCACCCCCACGGGAGCCCCAGAGGAUUCUUUCUACACCCAGGGUUAACCCUAUCCCUCCCCUGCUCACACACCUCCCAUGGCUCCCCAGUGCCCCCGGACUAAGACCCAGCCCCUCAGCCUGGCGUUCCACGGUCACCCAUCAGAGCCCUCUCUCUAUUUCACCUCCCACGGCUUCACCCUAAAGCUCUGGGUGCCACACACCUGGUACCUGCUCUGUCGCAGCCAUGACCACCUUGGUUCUCACUGUCUGUGUCCGUCUCUGCCACCAGUCUGCAGCGUCUUUGAGAUCAGGGUUCUGGUCUUACUCCUCCGGGGUCCCCGGCAUCACCCACCACAGGGGAGGCACGUGGUGGGGGGUCCCCACUUUCGAGUGAAUUAUUUAACACUCUAGAAACCCAGGUCUUGGUCAGCGUGAGUCUGAGGGGUGUAGGGCAGCACAUCAUUCAUUACAGUCCAUGUCCCAGGCAUGGAGGACCCAGAAACAAUGACACAGACAAGGGUGUAAGGCUGUCACGUUGCCUUCCCUUCAUUUUAUUCCACACAAACAAGGAUGGGGACCGGGAGAUCCAAGCACAGCUCACCGUGACAUCCAAGGUGCUGAGUUUGAAUCCGGAUCCUGACACCUUGACCCCGGCUGGGACUCCGGGCACUCAAUAAACGUAAUUGGAUGGAUUAAUGCAGUCAGACCGCUCAAGUCUUGACUACCACUCACUCGCUGUGUGACCUUUGAGGCUGAUCAAGGAAAUGCUGAUUCCUGCGCUGGGCCACGCGGAGAGGCUGCUGUCCCUCUGGGUCUCAAAACCCACCUCACCAACCAUGCGAGGCUCUCCCCAAUCAAAGACUACGAUCUCCCCAGGAGAAUCCUGAAGCGGCUGUGAAAACCACAGAGUCUCCUUGAAAGACUGCUUAACCAAAUUCAUUAGAAAAUCAAUGCAAAUUAAAAACCUCACCGGGAUCCCACUAGUCACCUCUGAGAAGGCGGAGAUCAAAGAGUCUGACAUCGCGGUUGCGCUGCGUUGGCGAAGCUCUGGGAAACCGCCUUUCGGAGCUCCCUGUGGAGGAGUCUAGCAACAUCUAACACGCCCUCUGACCCUGCCAGUCCCCGAGGAAAGAUCUAUUCUAACAGAUGACAAGACUGAUAAUAGCAAAUACGUCACACCUCCGAGGUGCCAGGUAUGAACUAAACACUUUAUCCACAUCAAUACACGUAAUCAUCCCAGUGAUUCUUUGAGGGAGGUGCUGUUAUAUCUCAUUUCACUUAGGUGGAAACUGAGGCAUAGAGAGUGAAAGCAACUUGACAGGUGUCACCCAGCUAUAAGCAGCUGUCAUGCCAUUCUGCCUUCUUGGAGUGUUCACCAAAGUACACAGGUACAAAUGUAAAAGGAUACUAUUGUUGGAGAGGCAGAGAGAACAGCUUCUUUAUACUAUCCACUUUUUUUGUUGUUGUUAAAUUCCUCAUUAAAAUCUGUCCAUGCGGACUUCCCUGGUGGUGCAGUGGUUUAGAAUCUGCCUGCCAAUGCAGGGGACGGGGGUUCGAUCCCUGGUCCGGGAAGAUCCCACAUGCCGUGGAGUAACUAAGCCUGUGCGCCACAACUACUGAGCCUGCAUGCCACAACUAUGGAAGCCCAUGUGCCUAGAGCCUGUGCUCCACAACAAGAGAAGCCAUUGCAUGAGAAGCCUGUGCAUCGCAAGGCAAAGUGUACCUCCCGCUUGCCGCAGCUAAAGAAAAUCUAUGCUCAGCAACGAAUACCCAAUGCAGCCAAAAAUAAAUAAAUUUUUAAAAAGUAAAAGUACUUUCCUUUAAAAAAAAUCUAUCCAUGCUUUCUUUCAAAUUUUAGUGCGCUUACAUUAUUGUUCUUUUUCUAGACUCUUGAAUUGUUUUGCUCAUCUCCUUUCAUGUGAGCAUUUUUCCGAAUUAGCAUCUGAAGCUACAGCUCUUCCUCAGAGUAUAGCUUUGGCCCCACCUCACAAGUUUUGUUGUGUAGUGUGCUCAUUUCUAAAUGAAUGGCACUCCAGUUUUAUUCUUCCAUUUAACCCAAGAGUUACUUAGAGAGUGUUUUGAAAUGUGCAAAACAAACUGAGUGUCUGUGGUUAUUCUUCGUUAUUAAUUUCUAAUUUUGAAUGUGGCCUGCAUUAUUUCUGCUUUUGGCAAUCAACCUGUGCUGUGUUUCUGACCCAUAGUCUAUUCUUGGGAAGUGGGGAGAAUAUCAUUGCAGGACUCUGAUUUUUUUUAAUGCUAUAAAGUUCAUUAUUGGCACAACUAGGAAAUUUUGAAUUUGGAUUGUUUAUUAGAUAAUAUCAAUGUUAAAGUUCUUGAGGGUGGUAAUGAUAUUAUGGUUGU